AUGAUUGCUCUUAUUGGUAUGGUUCCUACCGAGGAGGAGGGAGAAGAGCCGAAGAAGAAGGAAAGGAAAGCAGCCGGAGCUGCUUUCACAUGGAUUCAAGAAAACUUUGCGCAUUGCCCUGCGGAUGCCACUGAUGAUGUGAUACAGACACAUGCUCGUGUCUAUAUGUGGUACGUUGUCUCGAGGACUUUGUUUCCUGACUCCACGGGCAAGAACGCUCCAUGGAUGUGGCUGAAGGCGUUGACCGUCUUCGAUAGCAAAUGGAGCUGGGGUUCAGCAACUCUUGCGUACUUGUACCGACAGGUAGUUGGUUUGUUUUGUUAUCAACUCAUUUGUUCAUUACCAAUGCAACCUUGCUGUCAACUGAACAUUGUUUUUCUUUCAUAUGCAGCUGGACGAUGCGUGUUGCAGGAUCACAGAUAG
rnacentral:rRNA from 1 species